rnacentral:rRNA from 1 species
UAAUACGUAGGUGGCAAGCGUUGUCCGGAUUUAUUGGGUUUAAAGGGUGCGUAGGCGGCCCUGUAAGUCAGUGCUGAAAUAUCCCGGCUUAACCGGGAGGGUGGCAUUGAUACUGCAGGGCUUGAGUAGAGUUGAGGUUGGCGGAAUUGACGGUGUAGCGGUGAAAUGCUUAGAUAUCGUCAAGAACACCUAUUGCGAAGGCAGCUAACUAAGCUCAAACUGACGCUGAGGCACGAAAGUGUGGGGAUCAAACAGGAUUAGAUACCCUGGUAGUCCACACUGUAAACGUUGAUUACUCGCUGUUUGCGAUACACAGCAAGCGGCUUAGCGAAAGCGAUAAGUAAUCCACCUGGGGAGUACGCCGGCAACGGUG